GAGGCAUGAGUCCUCGUGUGUGUGCUUGAUAUUGUGAUUGAUUACGUACUUGCUUCAACUGUCACUUGUUCAUGUUGUUGUUUCUUAUCACCUGCUAAGUGCUAUAGUUGACUUUAUACUAUUAUUCAUUGUAUAUUAGUUUCUAUUUUGGGUUGGCCGAUGAUACCUACUCAGUACAUGUUGCCCCGUACUGAGCCCUACUUGUAUUUUUCUUUGUUUUCCUUUUAUGGAGUGCAGGGAGUGUACCAACGAAUUUGACUCGCCU
rnacentral:lncRNA from 1 species